rnacentral:rRNA from 1 species
GACGAACGCUGGCGGCGUGCUUAACACAUGCAAGUCGAACGGAAAGGCCCUGCUUGCAAGGUACUCGAGUGGCGAACGGGUGAGUAGCACGUGGGUGAUCUGCCCUGCACUUCGGGAUAAGCCUGGGAAACUGGGUCUAAUACCGGAUAGGAGCCAUUUUUAGUGUGAUGGUUGGAAAGUUUUUUCGGUGUAGGAUGAGCUCGCGGCCUAUCAGCUUGUUGGUGGGGUAAUGGCCUACCAAGGCGGCGACGGGUAGCCGGCCUGAGAGGGUGGACGGCCACAUUGGGACUGAGAUACGGCCCAGACUCCUACGGGAGGCAGCAGUGGGGAAUAUUGCACAAUGGGCGCAAGCCUGAUGCAGCGACGCCGCGUGGGGGAUGACGGCCUUCGGGUUGUAAACUCCUUUCGCUAGGGACGAAGCUUUUUGUGACGGUACCUAGAUAAGAAGCACCGGCUAACUACGUG